GCAAGUAGAGAAUACAGCACGCUCUUCGUGCUCCAUUAUGCCUGAAAGGUUAACUUCACCACCAAAGCCCAAGAAGAGGUUUUCUUCGCCAAAGAUGGGGAAGUGCUGACAACGUUUGACAUUAAAAACAUCUAUGUUCUCCCAGACCUGUCAGGACAGACAGCCAUUGUUGGACACUUUGACUUCAGAGCACCUUCUGGAAAAGAGCUUCUGUUGGAUGACAGCGCAAUUGUCUGGGCAGAAGGACCCUUAAAGAUUAGAGCUGAGAGAACCCUAAGAACCAAGACCACACAGCACCUCUCACAUCCCAAGCUCCAGGAGAAUCGCUUGAACCCGGGAGGCGGAGGUUGCAGUGAGCCAAGAUUGUGCCACUGAACUCCAGCCUGGGUGACAGAGUGAGGUCCUGUCUCAAAAAAACAAACAAACAAAAAAUACAUAUUAUUACUACAACUUGAGUAUCCCUUAUCCGAAUUGCUUGGGACCAGAAGUGUUUUGGAUUUCAGAUUUUUUCAGAUUUUGAAAUAUUUGCAUAUGCAUAAGGAAAUAUCUUGGGGAUAGGAUCCAAGUCUAAAUAUGAAAUUCAUUUAUGUUUCAUAUACCACUUAUACACAUAGUCUGAAGGUAAUUUUUUACAAUAUUUUUAACUAUAUCAUGCAUGAAACAAAGUUUGUUUAUGUCAAGUCAGGUGUGGAAUUUUCCACUUGAGGCAUCAUGUUGGCACUCAAAAAGUUUUGGAUUUUGGAGCAUUCCAGAUUUCAGAUUUUCAAAUUAGGGAUGCCCCAUCUAUAUCUCCAUUUUAUUGAAGAGGAAUCUGAAGCUUAGAGAUGUUAAGCCCAAGGCACGCAAACCAUAAAGGGCAGAACCAGAAUUCCAACCAUCAAGAUGUCUUGUUUUCCCACCACACUCGAAAUCCGGAAGAGCUUAUUCUUACCUAUCACUGUUUCCCUAACACCCUGUACAGUACCUGAUAUACGGAACACAUUUUUAAUUAUCUGAGCAAGAAAUGGAGAAAGAGGAAAAUGAAAGAGAGUAGAAAAGGAAAACGUGAUAAAGAGGGGUUUAAUAAAGGAAGGAGUAAGAGAAAGAAAGAGAGAGAGGGACCUAGUAAGUGAAAACGAUGAGGCUUAUUCCUCCACGACCUGACUGCACAGAUGUCGCUCAAUUCCCCCUGCAGUCUCCCCAGCACUCUCUCCCCUCCACUCUCCCACCUCUUGUGUGUAGGUCCCUUCCUCUGUCUGCAACGAAAAACGUCCUGUGGAAACCAGGAAGUCAACCCUAUUUGAGAAGUCAAAAUGCUGCUACAAAAGCCUUCCCUGACCCAGAAGAGAAAUCGCAAUGUCACCAGGUAAGGAGGGAGGCUGGUUCUUGGUCAGAGGGUGGCCAGCCAUCAGCCAGAGUAGACUUCAGAUGAAAGCUGUGUCCACAUCAAGGAAAUUCCUUCAAUGGAAAAGUCCAGGGAAGUCGAGACCAAAAAGAAGAUGUCAAUGUGACCUUCCUAGAUGCUACAUUAAAGCCAUUUGAGGCUAUUAAAUUCAUUCUUUCUUUUAUCAACCAUGAGUUUGUUCAAAUCCUGUACUUAGUUUAACAUUUGCCAUAUGGUAGGCAUUUCAUAAAUGUUUAAAAAGAAUUACCCUAAUGACAUAAUCUUUAUUUUACUAAGAUGUCAUUCAUUCAACAGAUAUCAACUGGCACCAACCAUAUACAACCACUGUGCUGGGUGCAAGGGUACCAACAACAAAUAAGCCAUGGUCCUGGACCCACAGAGCUCAGGAUAUAUUAAAAGAGAAUGAUACUGGACCCCUACACCUAGCACAGCUCAUCUCUCAAUAAAGAAACUAGACUAUAAAGUGAAGUCAAUACUGUAAUAAAUAAAUAAAUAUUCAAGCAUCGAGCUGUGAAAGCACGUUGGAACAAUUAAUUCUAACAAAUAGGCAGGGAGACUUGGCAAUGCAAGGGGUGGCAUGUGACACAGGCCUUAAACAACAAGCAAGGUUUCAAAGGCAAUGAAGCAUAAUAAGGAUAUUCCAGGCCAAGGAGGAAGUUAUUAUAGUAAAGGCAUGAAAGCAAUAAGGAGCUGAGAGUGGUUUCAGCAUCAAUUGUGAUGCAAGAUAUAGGAAGCAGGUGGUCAGAUCAUAGAGGACUUUACCUGCUGGACUCUGGAGCAUGGACUCUAUUCUAUAGAAAAUGGGGAGGAGCCUCUGAACUACUUCAGUAUAAAAGCAAUGUGUAUUUCAGUGUGUGUCUUGGGGAAAUGAAUAGACAAAUAGACAAAGGAGGGAGAUUGGAGCAGGAAGACCAGGUUCAGAAUCCAGGUAAUUGUUGAAGCCACAGGUUUGGAUGAAGUCUCUUCAAAACUCUCCCUGGGAAAGUAGAGACUUUGGAAAUACCUUUUGCCCUUUUGAAGAGAAAGUUUCCACCGAAUGAAGCUGAGAAGGAACCACCAGGUGCUGAAGAGAGGAUGACACAAAUGAGAAAUCCUUGAACUUAGACACUAGGAAGACAUGGAAUCAAAGUAUCUAGGACCCUACAAAUAUAUCCAAAUCAAGGAAAGAGAUCAAAUUGUCCCUAUUUGCAGACGACAU
rnacentral:lncRNA from 10 species